CUGAGAACCAUUUUCAUCACUCAAUAAAAUUCUCCACUUUCACCACCCUUCAACCUUCCAUGUGACCCCAUUCUUCAUGGACACUGGACAAGAGCUCGAGACCCACCCAGUGCAGUGGUGCUGGGCAGCUCCUCCCUCCCUGAGGGCUGUUCUGCCAACCUCACGACACCAUCAUAGAAGACUUCAGAGACUGACUGUUGCAGGUUGAACUGUGUCCUCCAAAAAGAUAUGUUGAGUCCCUAAUCUCCAGUACCUGUGUAUGUGACCCUAUCCGGAAAUAGAGUUUUUGUGGAUGUAAUCAUACUGGAUUUGGAUGAACCCUAAUCGAAGAUGACCAGGGUCCUUCUAAGAAGAGAAUAGAUGCAUGUGCGCGCAAGCGCGCGCGCGCACACACACACACACACACACACACACACACACACACAGAGGACCAUGUGACAGCUGAGAGAUUGGAGUGACGUGUCUGCAAGCAAAAAAUGCCAAGGAUUGCCAGCAACCACCUAUGGUCUCCUCCCCUAGAUCAUCUAGAGAGAACACAGCCAUGCUGACAUCAUCAUUUCAGGCCUCUAUCCUCUGGAACUGCAAUAUAAUAAACUUCUGUAGUUUUAAGCCACUCCAUUUGUGCUACUUUGUUAUAGAAGCACUAGGAACCUAUUACUCUCACCUUUGCUUUUCCCAUUCACUCUACGGACUUUCCUUUUUAAGCUUCCCUCCCCAAACAUUGUCUCUCAUAGGAUUCUCAUCCAUGUAUUUGUGCAUGAACUUCCCCGCAUC
rnacentral:lncRNA from 1 species